CCUCUCAUGGUGUAGUGGUAACGCGCCCCAACUAGAGAUCGGGGAGUCGUGAGUUCGAUUCUCGUUGAGAAGA
rnacentral:tRNA from 1 species